rnacentral:rRNA from 1 species
AGAGUUUGAUCCUGGCUCAGGACGAACGCUGGCGGCACGCCUAACACAUGCAAGUCGAACGGACGAGAGGAAGCUUGCUUCCUCAAGUUAGUGGCGGACGGGUGAGUAACACGUGAGCAACCUGCCUCUGAGAGAGGGAUAGCUUCUGGAAACGGAUGGUAAUACCUCAUAACAUAGUGAAAUCGCAUGAUUUUGUUAUCAAAGAAAUUCGCUCAGAGAUGGGCUCGCGUCUGAUUAGAUAGUUGGUGAGGUAACGGCUCACCAAGUCGACGAUCAGUAGCCGGACUGAGAGGUUGAACGGCCACAUUGGGACUGAGACACGGCCCAGACUCCUACGGGAGGCAGCAGUGGGGAAUAUUGCACAAUGGGGGAAACCCUGAUGCAGCGAUGCCGCGUGGAGGAAGAAGGUUUUCGGAUUGUAAACUCCUUUUAUCAGGGACGAUAAUGACGGUACCUGAAGAAAAAGCUCCGGCUAACUACGUG